rnacentral:rRNA from 1 species
UACGUAGGGGGGCUAGCGUUGUCCGGAAUCAUUGGGCGUAAAGCGCGUGUAGGCGGUCCGGUAAGUCCGCUGUGAAAGUCGAGGGCUCAACCUCGAAUGCCGGUGGAUACUGUCGGGCUUGAGUACGGGAGAGGCGAGUGGAAUUCCUGGUGUAGCGGUGAAAUGCGCAGAUAUCAGGAGGAACACCGAUUGCGAAGGCGGCUUUCUGGGACGGGUACUGACGCUGAGACGCGAAAAGCGUGGGGGAGCGAACAGG